CGACUACAGAUGUCACUUCUGUCAUGCAAUAAGCUUACAUAUGCAAGUGAAUGAAUGCCUGUAAAAUUAGGAGGAAAAUAUGUAUAACAAAAUUGAAGUAAAAGAAGGAGAAAGUGAACGAAUUCAAUUUCUUACGUACAAAAUACAUUAAAUUAUUUCUUCAUAUUGGGAAGAGAAAUUACGGUUCGCAGUGAAGUUACACAAAGACGGGGAAUCGCAAAUAAUGAUGAUCACACUGGACUGAAAUAUAUUGUUCUACUGAAUGGUCGGUGAAUUGAAUGUGUGAAAAGUGACGAACAAGAAAAACCAAAAAUUUAUAAAAUUAUGUGUAACAUACCCUUCCACAGAUGUAAGGAAUUUUGUCACACUCUUUGAAAAAUUGUACCUCGCAAGCAAGGACAACUCUCCAAGAAGCUAACUUGGUUUUUUUUAGUCUUCUGGCACAUCUUCAUAAGCGACGUUAUGUUGAACUCACUGAAUUAAUGAGUAUAACCUCACUUUGAGAUUUGGUGCAGUCAAAAUUAACGCGGCUUACAAACCGAUAUUUAUCAACCCACUAUCUGUACAAAAAGCUUUGGCCCAAAUAUUAAAUUGCUUUUAAAAACACA